GACGAACGCUGGCGGCGUGCUUAACACAUGCAAGUCGAGCGGUAAGGCUCCUUCGGGGGUACACGAGCGGCGAACGGGUGAGUAACACGUGAGUAAUCUGCCCUUCACUUCGGGAUAGCUUCGGGAAACCGAAAUUAAUACCGGAUACGACUACUUCCUGCAUGGGAUGGUGGUGGAAAGUUUUUUCGGUGGGGGAUGUGCUCGCGGCCUAUCAGCUUGUUGGUGGGGUAAUGGCCUACCAAGGCUUCGACGGGUAGCCGGCCUGAGAGGGUGACCGGCCACACUGGGACUGAGACACGGCCCAGACUCCUACGGGAGGCAGCAGUGGGGAAUAUUGGACAAUGGGGGAAACCCUGAUCCAGCAACGCCGCGUGAGGGAUGACGGCCUUCGGGUUGUAAACCUCUUUCAGCUCCGACGAAGUCACUCGUUGAGGGUGGUGACGGUAGGUGCAGAAGAAGGACCGGCCAACUACGUGCCAGCCGCCGCCGUAACAC
rnacentral:rRNA from 1 species